UGGGGAAUCUUGCACAAUGGGGGAAACCCUGAUGCAGCGACGCCGCGUGAGUGAUGAAGCCCUUCGGGGUGUAAAGCUCUUUCGGCAGGGACGAUAAUGACGGUACCUGCAGAAGAAGCUGCGGCUAACUACGUGCCAGCAGCCGCGGUAAUACGUAGGCAGCAAGCGUUGUUCGGAAUUACUGGGCGUAAAGAGUGCGUAGGCGGUUUGGCAAGUUUGGUGUGAAAUCUCCUGGCUUAACUGGGAGGGUGCGCCGAAAACUGUCAGGCUAGAGUGCGGGAGAGGAAAGCGGAAUUCCUGGUGUAGCGGUGAAAUGCGUAGAUAUCAGGAGGAACACCUGCGGUGUAGACGGCUUUCUGGACCACUACUGACGCUGAGGCACGAAAGCGUGGGGAGCAAACAGGAUUAGAUACCCUGGUAGUCCACGCCCUAAACGAUGCGGACUUGGUGUUGGCCCUUCAUUGGGUCAGUGCCGCAGUUAACGCGGUAAGUCCGCCGCCUGGGGAGUACGGUCGCAAGGCUGAAACUCAAAUGAAUUGAC
rnacentral:rRNA from 1 species